GACGGAGGUGGCAAACGUUGCUCGGAAUUACUGGGCUUAAAGGGCGUGUAGGCGGUCGAUUAAGUCGGGUGUGAAAAACCUCGGCCCAACCGAGGAACUGCAUUCGAUACUGAUCGGCUAGAGUGCGAGAGGGGCAAGUGGAACUCCAGGUGUAGCGGUGAAAUGCGUAGAUAUCUGGAGGAACGCCGGUGGCGAAAGCGACUUGCUAGCUCGUAACUGACGCUGAGGCGCGAAAGCCAGGGGAGCAAACGGG
rnacentral:rRNA from 1 species